rnacentral:tRNA from 1 species
GUAGAGAUGGCUCAGUGGUUAAGAGCACUGGCUUUUUGCUCUUCCAGAGGUCCUGAGUUCAAUUCCCAGCAACCACA